rnacentral:rRNA from 1 species
CGGCGAGUGAAGAGGGAAGAGCCCAAGAUUGAAAGCUGGCGCCUUCGGCGUCCGCAUUGUAAUCUCAAGAAGUGUUUUCCGCUUCGGACCAUGCCUAAGUCCCUUGGAAAAGGGCAUCACAGAGGGUGAUAAUCCCGUACAUGGCAUGGAGCGCCCGAAGCUUUGUGAUACGCUUUCUAAGAGUCGAGUUGUUUGGGAAUGCAGCUCAAAAUGGGUGGUAAAUGCCAUCUAAGGCUAAAUAUUGGGGAGAGACCGAUAGCGAACAAGUACAGUGAUGGAAAGAUGAAAAGAACUUUGAAAAGAGAGUUAAACAGUACGUGAAAUUGCCAAAAGGGAAGGGUAGGAGGUCAGAGAUGCGUCGCAGGAUUCAGCCUUGCUUUUGCUUGGUGUUUUUCCUGCGUUGCAGGCCAACGUCGGUUUUGGGCACUGGAGAAGGGUAGGAGGAACGUGGCACCUCUCGGGGUGUGUUAUAGCCUCCUACUGGAUACAGCGACCGAGACCGAGGAACGCAGCGUACUCGUAAGAGCGGGCCUUUUGGCACCUUUACGCUUAGGGCGUUGGCAUAAUGGCCCUCUACCACCCGUCUU